GCUAGGAACAUGAUACUAGGAUUAGUUUUGGGAGCAGCAUUUUGCUUUCCUCUUGGUUGGCUCCAUUUGAAGCUGAUAGAAAAAGCUAAUGAAGGGAAUCAAUCUGCAAAUGAAAACUUAGAUAAGAGAGACAUAAAAAGUGGUGUUAGUGCUACAAUUGAAAGGCUUGAAAGCAAUUUACACAAAUGAAAGCUAUUUGGCUACACAGAGGCAUGCCUUCUUGUUUAUAUUUUUCAGGGUGGUCAUGUAAUCACGCAAUGGAGGAUGUGACACCACUGGGAAUGGAAUGGCAUUAAUGUCCACUUAAUAGGAGAAACAGUUAUAUUAAUUAAAUAAUUUCGUUGACCAAGUUGAGUCACAUUUCUUCCAUAUGAAAUUAUGAUGUUAUUAUUAGUUUGUUAUUAUGUUUUUAGUCUUGUUAUUAUGACUUAUGAGGCUAUUGUGGUAUGAAUAUCGUCUGUUGCAGUGCCAAUAGUAUCUUGGGUCAGCCUCUAAGCUCCUAGUUUCUACCGUGUCUUGAGGCAAAAUCAUACGGGUGAAAUCUGCGACAUUGAUGCGGUCAUUGACUUGUAAAAAAGUUUAAAGUUGUUUGCUGA